GACGUAGGGGGCGAGCGUUGUCCGGAUUUAUUGGGCGUAAAGCGUGCGCAGGCGGCUUUGCAAGACAGGUGUGAAAUCCCCGGGCUUAACCUGGGAACUGCAUUUGUGACUGCAUGGCUGGAGUGCGGCAGAGGGGGAUGGAAUUCCGCGUGUAGCAGUGAAAUGCGUAGAUAUGCGGAGGAACACCGAUGGCGAAGGCAAUCCCCUGGGCCUGCACUGACGCUCAUGCACGAAAGCGUGGGGAGCAAACAGG
rnacentral:rRNA from 1 species